UGGGGAAUCUUCCACAAUGGACGAAAGUCUGAUGGAGCAACGCCGCGUGAGUGAAGAAGGUUUUCGGAUCGUAAAGCUCUGUUGUUGGUGAAGAAGGAUAGAGGCAGUAACUGGUCUUUAUUUGACGGUAAUCAACCAGAAAGUCACGGCUAACUACGUGCCAC
rnacentral:rRNA from 1 species